CCCUUCCAGCCUGGAAAGGUAGAUAUCACCCCCAUACUCUCUUCAACCAAGGACUUGGACUCUGUUUUUCUUCCCUACCUAGACCCCAACCCUUCCACUGAAUCUCUUUCUUCUGCUAACAUUGUGCAAGUGUGUGGAAGUGCUUGUGUGAGAU